GACGAACGCUGGCGGCGUGCUUAACACAUGCAAGUCGAACGGAAAGGCCUGCUUUCCCUUGUGGAUUGCGGGUACUCGAGUGGCGAACGGGUGAGUAACACGUGAGUGAUCUGCCCCCAACUUGGGUAUAAGCCUGGGAAACUGGGUCUAAUUCCCGAUAGGACUGCAGGGUGGUGCCUGUGGUGGAAAACGAUUUUCUAGUGGUUGGGGAUGAGCUCGCGGCCUAUCAGCUUGUUGGUGGGGUAAUGGCCUACCAAGGCGGCGACGGGUAGCCGGCCUGAGAGGGUGGACGGCCACAUUGGGACUGAGAUACGGCCCAGACUCCUACGGGAGGCAGCAGUGGGAAAUAUGGCACAAUGGGCGGAAGCCUGAUGCAGCGACGCCGCGUGGGGGAUGACGGCCUUCGGGUUGUAAACUCCUUUCGAGCGCGAGGAAGCCACCUGGUUGGAAGGGUGGUGACGGUAGUGGUAGAAGAAGCACCGGCUAACUACGUG
rnacentral:rRNA from 1 species